AGGUCCCGCUGAGGAGAGGUGUUCAUGCAGAAGUCCAGAAAGUGAAGUCGCUGUACUGUUUUAUUUUUAUUUUAAACAGUCGCCUGGAGGUCCCGCUGAGGAGAGGUGUUCAUGCAGAAGUCCAGAAAGUGAAGUCGCUGUACUGUUUUAUUUUUAUUUUAAACAGUUUAAACAGUUCUGGGAGAAUAAAUCUGCCCCAGCUGGCAAAGAGAGAGCUGAAUCCUCUGGUUAUUUACACAACACAACGCAGAGAACUAACGGCAAAUGGAGUUUAAGGCCAGAC